CAGGCCUAACACAUGCAAGUCGAACGAUGCCUUCGGGCAUAGUGGCGCACGGGUGCGUAACGCGUGGGAACCUGCCCUUUGGUUCGGAAUAACUCAGGGAAACUUGAGCUAAUACCGGAUGAUGACUUCGGUCCAAAGAUUUAUCGCCGAGGGAUGAGCCCGCGUAGGAUUAGCUAGUUGGUGGGGUAAUGGCCUACCAAGGCGACGAUCCUUAGCUGGUCUGAGAGGAUGAUCAGCCACACUGGGACUGAGACACGGCCCAGACUCCUACGGGAGGCAGCAGUGGGGAAUAUUGGACAAUGGGCGAAAGCCUGAUCCAGCAAUGCCGCGUGAGUGAUGAAGGCCUUAGGGUUGUAAAGCUCUUUUACCAGGGAUGAUAAUGACAGUACCUGGAGAAUAAGCUCCGGCUAACUCCGUGCCAGCAGCCGCGGUAAU
rnacentral:rRNA from 1 species